CACUUCUCAGACAGGGCGGCUGCCGGGCGGAGGGGCUCCUCACUUCUCAGAUGGAGCGGUUGCCAGGCAGAGGGUCUCCUCACUUCUCAGACGGGGCGGCCGGGCAGCGACGCUCCUCACAUCCCGGACGGGGCGGCCGGGCAGAGCUGGCCACUGCCCCAACCCAGGCAUUUCACUGGGCGCAGUGCGGACAGGCUUCCGCUUUGGUCAUGGGGACAAGGUCCGCUAUCGCUGCUCCUCGAAUCUUGUGCUCACGGGGUCUUCGGAGCGGGAGUGCCAGGGCAACGGGGUCUGGAGUGGAACGGAGCCCAUCUGCCGCCAACCCUACUCUUAUGACUUCCCUGAGGACGUGGCCCCUGCCCUGGGCACUUCCUUCUCCCACAUGCUUGGGGCCACCAAUCCCACCCAGAAGACAAAGGAAAGCCUGGGCCGUAAAAUCCAAAUCCAGCGCUCUGGUCAUCUGAACCUCUACCUGCUCCUGGACUGUUCGCAGAGUGUGUCGGAAAAUGACUUUCUCAUCUUCAAGGAGAGCGCCU
rnacentral:misc_RNA from 1 species